rnacentral:rRNA from 1 species
AACGUAGGAGACAAACGUUAUCCGGAGUUACUGGGCGUAAAGGGCGUGUAGGUGGUUUCGUAAGUCUGGCGUGAAAUUUUUCGGCUUAACCGGGAAAGGUCGUCGGAUACUGCAGAACUAGAGGACGGUAGAGGCGUGUGGAAUUCCGGGUGUAGUGGUGAAAUGCGUAGAGAUCCGGAGGAACACCAGUGGCGAAGGCGACACGCUGGGCCGUACCUGACGCUGAGACGCGAAAGCGUGGGGAGCGAACCGG